AGUGAACGCUGGCGGUAGGCCUAACACAUGCAAGUCGAACGGCAGCACAGUAAGAGCUUGCUCUUACGGGUGGCGAGUGGCGGACGGGUGAGGAAUACAUCGGAAUCUACUUUUUCGUGGGGGAUAACGUAGGGAAACUUACGCUAAUACCGCAUAUGUCCUACGGGUGAAAGCAGGGGAUCUUCGGACCUUGCGCGAUUGAAUGAGUCGAUGUCGGAUUAGUUAGUUGGCAGGGUAAAGGCCCACCAAGGCAACGAUCCGUAGCUGGUCUGCGGGGGUGGGCGGCCACACUGGAACGGAGAAACGGGCCAGACUACUACGGAGGGCAGCAGUAGGGAAGCUUCCGCAAUGGGCGAAAGCCUGACGGAGCAACGCCGCGUGAAUGAUGAAGGUCUUCGGAUCGUAAAACUCUGUUAUUAGGGAAGAAAAUAUGUGUAAGUAACUGUGCACAUCUUGACGGUACCUAAUCAGAAAGCCACAGCUAACUACGUG
rnacentral:rRNA from 1 species